GAUCAUGGCUCAGGAUGAACGCUGGCGGCGUGCUUAACACAUGCAAGUCGAGUGAAGCGCUUAAGUCUGAUUCUUCGGAUGAAGACUUUUGUGACUGAGCGGCGGACGGGUGAGUAACGCGUGGGUAACCUGCCUCAUACAGGGGGAUAACAGUUAGAAAUGACUGCUAAUACCGCAUAAGACCACGGUACCGCAUGGUACAGUGGUAAAAACUCCGGUGGUAUGAGAUGGACCCGCG
rnacentral:rRNA from 1 species